rnacentral:lncRNA from 1 species
CUCUUUCUAUCCAGGGAUCCUCCUUCGCGGCCACCCUUCUUCUUUCACUAAAAAUUCACUUCAUUUUCUUUCUGUGUACGUCCUUUUGUAAGCAAAGACAGCAGCUGAAACGUCAUACAUUAAUAAAAUAUUUCUCAAAGUUGUUACAUACUAUGUUAUAAAAUAAUAACUUAUAUUAUUUAUAAUAGCCUAAUAGGUAGUAGUAGGUCUUCUUUUUAAUCAUGGAUCUUACGUCACAUGCAGAGAGGAAAAGGAGAGAAAAUUUUGACAUCAUGAUCAUGCACGUCAUCUAUUACAACGUCAUUCCAUGCCUAGCUAGCCAUGACUUGUUGAUGAAUCCAUCCUCGUAAUUCAUGAUUCAUGUUACGUUCAUAUUUUUAAAUUGAUGUCUUUUCAAUUUGAGGAACUGCAUUAAUUGGAUAUAAUCAUGUUAAUUUUCAUGUAUGUAUGGGUGAAAAAUACUAAUGAGAUUAGCUCAUUGGAUAUAUAAUAUGUAAAAUAUAAUUAAUUUUGCCAUUA